AGAGGAAGUAAAAGUCGUAACAAGGUUUCCGUAGGUGAACCUGCGGAAGGAUCAUUACUGAGAGAGGGACCUCGCGUCCCUCGGGGGGCUUCGGCCCUCCAUCUCUUCAACCCGUGCCUAUAACCCUCUGUUGCUUUGGCGAGCGCCGGGGCGCCCCCCGCCCCGGCCCUGACCCUCGGGUCGGUGCGUUCUCGCCGGAGCCCCCUAAGCAUUCUGUUUGUUCAGUGACGUCCGAGUAUUACCAAAAUAUAAAUCAAAACUUUCAACAACGGAUCUCUUGGUUCUGGCAUCGAUGAAGAACGCAGCGAAAUGCGAUAAGUAAUGUGAAUUGCAGAAUUCAGUGAAUCAUCGAAUCUUUGAACGCACAUUGCGCCCCUUGGCAUUCCGAGGGGCAUGCCUGUUCGAGCGUCAUUGCAACCCUCAAGCUUCGCUUGGUAUUGAGCCUUUCGCCGGAGACGGCGUGCUCGAAAACUAGUGGCGGUCCAGGGAGACUUCAAGCGCAGUAAAACUUUUCGCUUCGGAGGUUCUCGCCUGUGACCGGCCGUAAACCCCCCAAUCUUUCAACGAUUGACCUCGGAUCAGGUAGGGAUACCCGCUGAACUUAAGCAUAU
rnacentral:rRNA from 1 species